rnacentral:rRNA from 1 species
UUGUGUUAUCAUACCAAUACCAACAUUGAUGCACAAGAUCCAAUAAAAACUCUUCAAUUAAAUGUGCCAUGACUAGAGUGGUAUGGUGAUGGUUGACCUCCCACAAAAUCUGAGUGUUGCACCCC